GUGCCACUGUUUAUGACAUGGACGUGUCCAUCCAACUUCUGCGUUGAGGUUGUCAUGAUAACAAAGCACAACUCGUGCACCAUGACUGCCGCAGUUAGAUAAUAUUCAGUGGUGGCAUUCGUUUGUUUCCAGGAUGACUUGUUACGGCUCAUUGAGAAGGUGGAAGCAGCCAAGGAAGAAGCAGUUGAAGCCAAGGCGAAUGCAGCCAAGGCUGAGCAGAAUGUGGCUGCAGUCCAGCCGGAAGUGGUCAAGCAGCAUGGAGAGGCGUCCAAGCAGUGAUGGGAUCCAGUGGUGGGCAACUGCGCCUGCUUUCACUUGCUUGUGGUGUGCAGAAAUAGUAACUGCUGAUUUCCUAUAAAGCUUGGUUCACUGUUCA
rnacentral:lncRNA from 1 species